UUUUCCUUUUGUUGUUGUCGGCCUCGGGGGUUUCGUUUUAACUCCCAGGUUUAGGUUUCGGAAGAAGACAAUUUGUGUGUCUUUCAAUUUUAGGGUUUCUGUCGACUAUGGAGAAGAAUAAAAGCGAAAUUGAAGUAGGCUCCGACUUGGGAAACGAUUCAAAAACUCAAGAGAAGAAAAGGGAACUGUCAUUAGCUGAAACAUGCAGAUAUGAUGAGAUUAAUCUUGCAAUAAAAGAGGGCAAACCUUAUAGAAUCACUUGGGAAGUUGUGCCGUUGAGGACACUUGCGCUAAUGAAGGAGAGGGGCUUGC